AUUAUUUGAGAAAAUAGGGGCUAUAAGUAUAGGCUACUGCACUUAUUUGUUAUCAGCGUUUGAGAAAUACUUCAAAGAAAAUUUCUCGUCGGUCAAAAUGGCGGACAAAGAAACCCCACUGCCGUCUCCGUCGUCCGAAAUCACGCCGUCGCCGUCGUCCGAAAUCUCGUCCAAGCAGAUUCUUCUACUGUUCCAGUUGUUUCUUUUCCUUAUAUUACAUCAUAGUGAAAAUUUCCCUCAUUCAACUUCACGUUUCUAUUUUGCAGCCGUCGCCGUCGGCCGAAAUCUCGUUCACUGCUAUGACGAGGUUUAAGGAAUCCAUGCCAUCUAAAGACAAGAUAAUUCUUGAUCAACCACUACCAAAUGCUCUUGGUGAACAGAAGCUGAAGGGGCAUUGAGAAAUCGUUUCGCCCGCUCAAUGGAGACGCAGAUUGAACAGGGCAUAAGUGCGCGCUAGAGAAGAUAAAACCCGAUGCUCUUGUUGCCGUUGCUGCCAUGAAAAUUUGUCCCGGUGAUGUU